GAUGAAGAACGCAGCGAAAUGCGAUAAGUAAUGUGAAUUGCAGAAUUCAGUGAAUCAUCGAAUCUUUGAACGCACAUUGCGCCCGUCAGUAUUCUGGCGGGCAUGCCUGUUCGAGCGUCAUUACGCCCCUCAAGUCCCCUGUGGACUUGGUGUUGGGGAUCGGCGAGGCUGGAUUUCCAGCACAGCCGUCCCUUAAAUUAAUUGGCGGUCUCGCCGUGGCCCUCCUCUGCGCAGUAGUAAAACACUCGCAACAGGAGCCCGGCGCGGUCCACUGCCGUAAAACCCCCCAACUUUUUAUAGUUGACCUCGAAUCAGGUAGGACUACCCGCUGAACUUAAGCAUAUCAAUAAGCGGAGGA
rnacentral:misc_RNA from 1 species